GACGAACGCUGGCGGCGUGCUUAACACAUGCAAGUCGAACGGAAAGGCCCUGCUUUUGUGGGGUGCUCGAGUGGCGAACGGGUGAGCAACACGUGAGUAACCUGCCCUUGACUUUGGGAUAACUUCAGGAAACUGGGGCUAAUACCGGAUAGGAGCUCCUGCUGCAUGGUGGGGGUUGGAAAGUUUCGGCGGUUGGGGAUGGACUCGCGGCUUAUCAGCUUGUUGGUGGGGUAGUGGCUUACCAAGGCUUUGACGGGUAGCCGGCCUGAGAGGGUGACCGGCCACAUUGGGACUGAGAUACGGCCCAGACUCCUACGGGAGGCAGCAGUGGGGAAUAUUGCACAAUGGGCGGAAGCCUGAUGCAGCAACGCCGCGUGCGGGAUGACGGCCUUCGGAUUGUAAACCGCUUUCGCCUGUGACGAAGCGUGAGUGACGGUAAUGGGUAAAGAAGCACCGGCUAACUACGUG
rnacentral:rRNA from 1 species